AAAUCAUCAUCGUUCAUAAUCCCAAACCAAAACCUUUCUUAGCCAAUUCACCAAAUCAAGGCAGCCUCUGUUCUUCAUUUCCUGAAAAAAAAAAUGCCAGGAGAGAUUGAAACCAUAAACCAAACAGAUUCAAAUAACCCAAAUCCAAACAGAAUCCACAGAAUGGGUCGAAGAGACCCAAAUCCAAUCAACUGCAAUGAAGAAGGGAUUAAUAAGCACCGAAAAUUAAUCGGAAAUUGCCGAUUAUUUCAGUUCCUCCCUGGAUUAGAUGGCAGAUAUGAUAAACUUUGUCGGGACAUUCUCAAGAAAGUUCCCGUUACCUCAGUCGAGUCGGCGUUCUCAAAAGUGAAAAGGGAGGCCGCCCGACUACAAAACUUGCAGCCGGCAACCAAUCGCUCCGACAUCGACGCCUCAUCAUCGGGAGGGGUCGGAGCCGGACUCGCCGCCACCCACCGCCCUACUCAGCGGCCUGAGGUCCAACCGCCACACACCGCCGCCGGUCCAGGCAACACACCGGAGUGGUGGGAAAACAAUUCCAAGGUUGCGAAAGGGAAAAUGGCGGAUGGAAGUGGAGGAAAUUCGGAACAGAUCGGAGCAACACCGACUGGAUCGGCAGUGGCCGAGAACCGACCGGCGUGGGCCGCAAGAGCGGCGGCCAUGGCUGUCGACCGACUGGCAGCCUCUGGACCGUGGGGCGCGAGGGAGAUAUCGGCGGCUGGAAAUCAGUCGCCGCUGACCGUGGGGGCGGCGGCACCAGCCGUGGACCGAGCAGCUGUAGAUCGUCCGGCAGAGGCUGCAGGACCAAAGAAUGGUGGAGGCCGAUUUGAGGGGGAGGCGACUGGAGAGAAUUGGGGAGGCUUGGUGAGGCAAAAUUCAGGUAUAGGGUUUGGUGUUUUCACACCAAACCCUCCCACUUCUCCUGAAUUGCAAAAAGAGCCCCACUUUAUGCAAACUACCCCCCUGGAUUUCCAUAAAUUACAAAACCACCCCAAACCUCUACAUAAUACUAAAAACACCUCUCAAUUAUGUAGAAAUUCCCUAAAUACUUCCGCUGCAUAUCAAACCUCUUGUGAUAAUAGGGAUAGAGGUAAAGGGUGGAUUUUUGAUUGUGGAGCCACUGAUACAAUGACUUUUGAUAAAACUGAUAUUAUUAAGUCAUC
rnacentral:lncRNA from 1 species